CCGGACCCUGCGUCUGCACUACCUCAUGAACAAAAUGAAAAUCCAAAGACAGUAAGACAACGACCCAAACCACGCUUGCCAUUUAUGGGCGACAGAAAAAGGAAAGUUCUUCUUGAAACACACAGAUCUAAUCAUGAUACAGAUAUUUCUGAUUCACCAAAUCAGAUGGAUAUGGAAGCAGGAAUCUGAUAUUCUUGUCCAACAAAGUGACACCAUGGGUCUUCUGCCACUGGAUAUGCUGGCUCUAGCUGCAGAGAACAAGCAACUCAAAGAAGAUAUGGCCAAACUGAUCCUAGAAAAGGAGGA